rnacentral:rRNA from 1 species
GCAAGUCGAACGCAGUAGCAAUACUGAGUGGCGAACGGGUGAGUAUAAUGUGGGAAUCUGCCUUUUGGUUUGGAAUAACACGGGGAAACUUGUGCUAAUACCGAAUAAGCCCUUACGGGGAAAGUUUUAACGCCGAAAGAUGAGCCCGCACUUGAUUAGCUAGUUGGUAAGGUAAAGGCUUACCAAGGCAACGAUCAAUAGCUGUUCUUAGAGGAAGACCAGCCACAUUGGGACUGAGACACGGCCCAGACUCCUACGGGAGGCAGCAGUGGGGAAUCUUGCACAAUGGGGGAAACCCUGAUGCAGCGAUGCCGCGUGAGUGAAGAAGGCCCUUGGGUUGUAAAACUCUUUCGUCGGGGAAGAAAAUGACUGUACCCGAAUAAGAAGGUCCGGCUAACUUCGUGCCAGCAGCCGCGGUAAUACGAAGGGACCUAGCGUAGUUCGGAAUUACUGGGCUUAAAGAGCUCGUAGGUGGUUAAAAAAGUUGAUGGUGAAAUCCCAAGGCUCAACCUUGGAACUGCCAUCAAAACUUUUUAGCUAGAGUGUGAUAGAGGUAAGUGGAAUUUCUAGUGUAGAGGUGAAAUUCGUAGAUAUUAGAAAGAACACCAAAUGCGAAGGCAACUUACUGGGUCACUACUGACACUGAGGAGCGAAAGCAUGGGUAGCGAAGAGGAUUAGAUACCCUCGUAGUCCAUGCCGUAAACGAUGUGUGCUAGACGUUGGAAAUAUAUUUUUCAGUGUCGCAGCGAAAGCAUUAAGCACACCGCCUGGGGAGUACGACCGCAAGGUUAAAACUCAAAUGAAUUGACGGGGACCCGCACAAGCAGUGGAGCAUGUG